AUUGAACGCUGGCGGCAGGCCUAACACAUGCAAGUCGAGCGAGCGGCGGACGGGUGAGUAACGUCUGGGAAACCGCCGGAUGGAGGGGGAUAACUACUGGAAACGGUAGCUAAUUCCGCAUACUAUCGGAUGUGCCCAGAUGGGGUUAGCUGGUAGGUGGGGUAGCGGCUCACCUAGGCGACGAUCCCUAGCUGAUCUGCGAGGAUGACAGGCCACGCUGGAAAUGAGAAACGGUCCAGACUACUACGGGAGGCAGCAUGGGGGAAUAUUGCACAAUGGGGGAAAGCCUGAUGCGGCCAUGCGGAGUGUAUGAAGAAGGCCUUCGGGUUUUAAGGUCCUUUCAGCGGGGAGUCGUUACCCACAGAGAAAGCACCGGCUAACUCCGUGCCAGCAGCCGCGGUAAUAC
rnacentral:rRNA from 1 species